rnacentral:rRNA from 1 species
GCCAGGGGCAAUAGAUCGUUGAAUGUACAAGUUCCCAAUGGAUCACUAAAGUUAAUCAACGUUGCGCAAGGUUGGUAUCUGGAUGGGUGGCCGUCUGGGCAAUUACAUGCUGCCGGAA